rnacentral:rRNA from 1 species
CAGCAGUCGCCGCGGGAAUACGUAGGUGGCAAGCGUUGUCCGGAAUUAUUGGGCGUAAAGGGCUCGCGGGCGGUUUCUUAAGUCUGAUGUGAAAGCCCCCGGCUCAACCGGGGAGGGUCAUUGGAAACUGGGAAACUUGAGUGCAGAAGAGGAGAGUGGAAUUCCACGUGUAGCGGUGAAAUGCGUAGAGAUGUGGAGGAACACCAGUGGCGAAGGCGACUCUCUGGUCUGUAACUGACGCUGAGGAGCGAAAGCGUGGGGAGCGAACAGGAUUAGAUACCCCCGUAGUCCCUGUCUCUUAUAC